GACGAACCGAGCGAACGUUGUUCGGAAUCACUGGGCUUAAAGGGCGCGUAGGCGGGCUGUCAAGUCUGGGGUGAAAUCCCGCGGCUCAACCGUGGAACUGCCUCAGAUACUGACGGUCUCGAGGGGGAUAGGGGCGAGCGGAACUGUGAGUGGAGCGGUGAAAUGCGUUGAUAUUCACAGGAACUCCGGUGGCGAAGGCGGCUCGCUGGAUCUCUUCUGACGCUGAGGCGCGAAAGCUAGGGGAGCAAACGGG
rnacentral:rRNA from 1 species